rnacentral:lncRNA from 1 species
GGUUUUAAUUAGUGAAGGAAGAAAAUGACCAAAGUGCCCCUAAUUAAAAUGUAGGAAAAACUUUUGCUAGUACUAUAGGUCACUUCACUACUCGUGAGGACUGGUCACAAGUCAUCACAAUGACUCGUGGUCUAGGAAAAAAGUUUAGUCCAUUAUACUGGUUUGGUCAAGAAUCCAUCAUCAAGAUUUGUAACCUCACCAUAUGACUCGUG